UACCAGCACCCCGAGUGGUCGGGACGUUUAUUGGGCCUAAAGCAUCCGUAGCCGGUUCUACAAGUCUUCCGUUAAAUCCACCUGCUUAACAGAUGGGCUGCGGAAGAUACUAUGGAGCUAGGAGGCGGGAGAGGCAAGCGGUACUCGAUGGGUAGGGGUAAAAUCCGUUGAUCCAUUGAAGACCACCAGUGGCGAAGGCAGCUCGCUGGGACGUGACUGACGCUGAGACGCGAAAGCGUGGGGAGCAAACAGG
rnacentral:rRNA from 1 species